UCUGAUGGAAUAGAUCACUUCCCCAACACCCGGAACAAUAAGUUGACAAGAAUUCUCAAGGGCGCAUUGAAGGGCAACGGGCAAACGGCCUUCUUGUGCACAGUCUCUCACCAUUCUCUUAAUGAGACUGUGAAUACUCUGAGAUUCGGGUCUCACGCCAAGAUCAUAAAGAGGCAACUGAAGAGAGCGGGUAGCAAGGAGGAGUCUGCCAAGGAGGCGCUUGUCGUGAAGGAGCUGCGUCACAGUAAUAUACAACUCCAGAAAGAG